CCUUAUCUCGGUCUAGGGUUCUGGAACUCGAUUCGCGACGCUCGCCGCGAGUCGCGAGGGUGAUGCUUUCUGCUCCCCUUGCAUGCUCUGGCGAGGCGAGUCGUUGGCUCUCUUCCUGUACCGAUAGUUGAAAGAUGCGUUCGAGCAGUGGCACCGGGUCCAUGGCGAGGAUCUGCGAUCUAAAGGUGAGAUAGGAUUCAUUCAAAAUCAAGAGAAAUCGUGUGACUUUCUCCCUGUCUUUUAUCGCCCUAUACUGUUGUAGCGUGGUUUCGGGCCCCUCGAGCUUUUCUUCGACUGAUUCUAGCUCAUUCCAGAGGGCCGACAGCUUGUUGAAGCAAGUGGUUAUGCUCAUAUUCCCUUGCUUUAGCUCUGAAAGCUCCUGGGUGAGAGAAAAAAAUCCUCGCACGGUCCAAUUUCCCGUACAUUUCUCGUAUAUUAUCCCACAUCUUCUUUGCAUCUUUUGUGGGGGGAAGUCCGACGACUAUUUCUGGGCUAAUACAGUUCCUGAUCCAUGUUCUAACGAGCUGGUUGCAUUUUCUCCAUUGUCUUGCCAUUCUCUCGUCAGUCGGGAUCGGAACAGAUCCGUCUAUGAAACCGUCUUUGUCCUUCGUCACCAGAGCUCGUCGGAAUUCUUGUGCCCAGAUCGAGUAGUUUCCAGAUCCCGUGAGAUGGUGGCUAAUGAGCCGCAACUCCGGUCCAUCGACGGUGGAGACGUAGAGAACGUCGCCGGGCUCUGGUCGGCCAGUGACGGAUGCCAUUGGAUACGGCAAGUAACCGGGUGGCAGAACCGGGUAGGGAUUUUGACCCAAACCUGGAUUCCCUGACCCGCUUGAUACCCCCGCAUUGAUCGUUCCAGAUCCUUCAGUUUGGCCUGCUCCGCUUGCGGCUAGUGGGCCGCUGUUGGGCUGGGCAUUUUCUUGGCUCGCCCCAGGCAAUGAUGCAUUUGGGUUUGGCCCAAGGUACCAUGGAUUCGAUAUCCAUUGGAAAGGCUGGCCCCCAAUUGGAUGGCCCACGAUGGGCGAGCCCGAUAGGAGCUGCCCUGUAUUUGUCUGAGCCUGAUAGGGUUGCCAAAAAAAGGGCUGGGCCUGGCCUCCGGAAAACACAGUCUGUGGAUCCAGAGUCUGUGGAAUUUGUGGGUUAACUUCCUUCGAGGCAUGUUGAUCCGUAACAUUCUCCGAGGCAUGUUGAUCCGUAACAUCUUCUGGGGAAGACGGAUCUGAAGAUGAUGGUUGUUUCUGAUUCAUGAUGAGGGCAAUCGUUGAGGACUUCCGGAAGCUAAGUCAGGAGCGAAGCUGCUCUGAUACCAUGAAAGAAAGCAAGAUCGAAGACAAGGAGAGAUGGCUUUGGGAGAAAAUUCAGUGUAUAUUUUCUCUGUAUUGCUCAAUACACGAUGUACAAAUUUAUAAUACAAUGCAUAAAUGAAUAAAGGAAAUAAAAUAUUUUACAAAUCAAAUACAA